rnacentral:lncRNA from 1 species
UGGUUGUAAUUUUAUAUCAACAUCACGUGCUUUGCUUUUUUAAGCAACUCUUCCAUUUCGGUUUUUCUAACUUAAAUGUUCAGAAUAUUAUCAAACUGAUGAAUUCGUUCUUCAAAAAUUAAGUAUCAACUUCAGUUCCUGUUUGUACCAAAUCAUUAUACAGUAAGUUUCAUACAAAUAAUUAAUUCAUAUCAAAUAUUAUUCUUCGAUUAAUCUUUGGAUACUAAUGCCAUUAAUUCAUAAAGUCAGAAGAGUCGAGUGUAUUUGCGCAAUGAGUCAAAUGGAUUGGAGUCGUAUAAUAUAAAUGUUUGGAUUCAGAGCCAAGAUCACAAUAUAUUAUUCCAAACUGAAACUAUUAAUUAAGAAUAAUUUAUUUUUAGAUGUUGGAUCCUGCCUUCCUAAUCUGCAGCUAUUUUAAAAUUUUAUUUUCCAAUCAUAGACAAAUAUACAUAUCAUCUGUGCUUCAAACCUACUCCGUGAGUAAAUACAUAUGACUCUGCAGACUCCCGCCUCACUCAUCAGCCAUAAUUAUAACUUCAUGGGAAUUAAACAAAAUCGAUACAGUCUCAAUGAGGUUUACAAUUCGUCUUAUUUCGGAACCAAAUAUAGUUAUCCCAAUGAAUGAAUUACAUUAUUAAUGCAACAUUAAUGGAA